rnacentral:lncRNA from 10 species
CUCGUCUUAAUCAAGGAAUCCUGACUUAACCUUAUUCUUUCUCACAGACACAGUUCAAUGCUGCAAUGGAGCCUGUGGUGAGCACUGAUUCAAUAGGUGGUUUGCCUCCUUAGACGCAGAAUCACAGGACUAGAAGGAGUGAAAACAACACUUUAUCUCUACAUUGGCUUCAGGGAGGACAGUGCCCAAACCACCUCAAGUACAGAAUAAUUUACUCUCAUUUAGAAGAUCUCCAGACAGAGCUCGAAUGGCUCCCUUGGCAACAAAUUUUAGUUUUAACAAUCUUUGUAGCUUUAUCCUUCCCUCCAGAUAAUGCCAUAACUGUGUACUCUAGAUUAAACGUUUUCUCCUUUUCUGCCCACAGUGCUUUUGAAGCCAAACAUGAUUUCACAUAUAGUGUUGGGUCAUCAUUAAGUCACCUUUCAGAAGUCCCUCUAAAUUAAGGAGUCCUCAUCCUUUCCUUAAAUUUUUCAUGUGUCCUGACCUAUGAGAAUCUGUUAUACGCAUGUUUAAUUUCUAUGGAAUACCUCAUCAUACAACUUGAAAUUCUGAUUGACUAGUGGUUUUUUUCCUGCAUAAGUGCUACUUCAUCUAUGCCUCAGUAACAAACAACAACAAUCACUUAAUGGAAAUGGUGGCAGGCAGAAUUCUAAGAUAGCUGCCAGAUUCCUGCCGCCCCUGGUGUGCAUUCCUUGAUAAUCACUCUCCUUUGAGUGCAGGCAGACCUGUGUGUAUGAUACCACUGCUAUGAUUACAUUGCUCAUCAGGCGACUGUGAGCUAGCCAAAAUGGAGAAUAUUCUGGUGGGUCUGACCUAGCCAGGUGAGCCCGUUUCUGAGUCAUAGAGAUUGAAAGUGUGAGAGGGAUUUGAUGUGAGGGGGAAUUCUCUGUUGCUGGUUUUGAGUAUAAAAGGGGCCAUAUAAUAAAGACUUGAGAGUGGUCACUAGUUGCUGAGAUCCAUCCCUAAUUGAAGCUAGCAAGAAACACUUCUACCAACAACUUGAAGGAAUUUGGAAAAGAAUCCUUCCCUAGUCAAGUCUCUAGAGGGGAAUGCAGCUAACUGACACCUUGAUUUCAGCCUCGUGAGACCCUGAACAGAGAUAUCAACCACUCAGUUGCCUGGACCUCUGACAGAAAUGAAAGAUAAUAAAUGUCUGUUGUUUUAAGCCACUAAGUUUAUGGAAAUUUGUUACACAGCAAUGGAAAACCAAUAUAGGCCCCUAUCCAUGAGUUACAUUGUAGUAAACACCUUUCCUACAUUAUAGAUAUCUCAUCUAACUCCUACAGCAACCCUUGAGGUAAUCACUGUGUCCAUUGUCAGAGCAAGAAAACUGAAGCUCGGCUUCAUAAACAGAAGCAGCAAGGAUUGAUUCCUUAAAUACUGUGAAUUCCACUCUCACUUUAUUUGAAUUUGUGACAGUGAAAUUCACAGUAUUCUUUAAACAUUUUACCCCCAAGCGAUGCUCUUUCCUCUGAAUUGCUUUGCCUGUCCUAAUAAUUUUAUUUAUACAGGCUGAUGCUGGUGACUUGGGAAUAGUAUUUUUAUCCAAACCAUUUGGCUUCUUAUAGGUAUGAGCCACUGAGGGAGCUAUUUUUUAUUUAAUUGUGCUUUGGAAAAAUCAAACGUAGCCUUGAGUUUUAAAAUUAUUAAGCUUACACUUUUUCACAAAAUAGAAAUGGAGUAAUAUAGCUCUGUCCUUCCGUUUUUUAAAGCCAAAAAAUGUAAGAAUGGAAUGUACUGGCUCACUGCUCCCACGGUGUCCUUACCAGCACAACUUACCCCAUCCCUCCCUAGCCCACUCUUGAGGAUACUUUCUUGCCACUGUCAGGCUUACUCCUGCCUCCUAGACUGAGGAAAGAAAAGCCUCCUGGUUUGGAGCUCAUAAUCAAGUCAGCCUUGCUGCAGGGCUCAUUUUAAGCCAGUAUCCUGGACCAGAUAAGGAAGCUGAAGCUUUGAGAAUUUAAUUUGCUCAAGGGGAGGCCAGGACAAGAAAUAAUGAAGAGUCCGAUGUGGCAGGAAUGUAGGAAACAAGUCAAUGAUGGAAGAUAAAUAUGGAGACGUGAUGAAGGCAAAAUUCUGAAGGGUCUUAGAGCCCAUUAUAAGACGUUUGGUUUUUAUGACUAUGCCGUGCAAGACUUGGUAAACUGGUCCCUACCGCAGAGGAUUUUAUACAGAGCACGCUAGUGGCUCACAGGUAGUGUCUUAUUGAAUGUUGAAUUUCCACACUUUUGACUGCAUGAAUCAGUAAAUACUUGGGUUUAUUUUGCCACAUAGAGGUCUACAUUGGUUUGAUACAAGUAAAUAGCAAUAAUGAUAAGAGUCACUGCCAUUAAUGGAGUGUCUCCUUGAUACCAGACACUGUCUCAGAUAACUUGAAUUAACUCUUUAAACCCACAUGGCCCUGGUCCUGAAAGGUGGUAUUAUUCAUUUUUAUAGAUGAGGAAACUGAGACACAGGCAACACUACUUCAACAUUGGCCCCAAACCAUUUUUAUUUGCCCUGAGUAAUUUGCUAGUUCUCCUCUUUCAGUAUGCCAGUCUUCUCUAUCCAUUGGUCUAUAGUUGGUUGCAAUUCGUCUUUGUCACCUGUUCCUGACACUGACCAAUUACUGACCAUAUCUCCCUAUUCUCUGCCAUGUGAUAACCUUUGGUUCUCCCAAAUAAACUCUUUCCUUAUCUCUACUCUAUUGAAACCAACCACCCCUCUCUCCACACAGAAUAUUUCACUGAUUGCCUUGCCCGCUUCUCAAAGGCCCACUUCUCUGUGGAAUGAUGCAGUUGCUAAGAAGAGCUGUUAAUGUCAUGACCUCAAUGAAUAAAAAAGACUUCCUUUUCUCCAUGCCCACUCAAGUAAAAGGCUUCUCUCUGAACUCCUGCUAAUUUUUCAUCAGCAAAGGUGCACAGCCUUUUGGAAGUGAAAUGAUUACUAGUGAAGAAAAAGAAAGAACCUAACACUUAUUUUACAAGCCUCCCAGUGACCACUCUUCAGACAAAACUUCUUAUAAUAGCUUCCUUCCCUGAAUCUUUUGCGAAACAUCAAAUCACAAAGAGAUCUUAUUGUCUCGCAUGGUUCUGAACACAUAGUAAAUGCUGAAUUACUAUUUCCUAAAUUAUCAUAAAGCUGAGAAGAAUCAUGAUUCUCAAACUUCACCUUGGAAUUAAAAUGGAUUUCCUUGAGAAGCACAUAUGAGGUAAGCAGACCUCUCCUGUGAUGUUCUGGAUAUGCCUGUCUCAACAGAUUUCAGGGUGGCCGUCUUCUCUGCAAAUUCAGUUCUCUGAUGUGUCCAAGGCCUUCAUUAUCUCACUUCACAAGAAGUCAGGUGCCAAGCAGAUCCAAGCUCAUUCAGAGGCUGCACCAUGUCAACUGGGACCCAGGUUUCAUCCAUGUUUCUGCUCUGUCAUUAUGUCAUACUCCAAGGGAGUCGCCAGAUGACUGCUGCAGCUGAGGCUUUUCUUUCACAGCAUCUAACAGAGGCUGGGGAGAGGCUCCAUGAAGCACGUGGUUUCCUAAUACCAGAAGAAAAUUCAAGCCUUUUAACAUGGCAGUCCACAGUGGUAGGAGGCGGAAAGAGACUUUGGGUAUUCAGAAAUGGUUUAUCACCUUCUACUUCUUUGGCUGCAUGAUACUCAGAGAUACCAUUCAUGUCUAUAUCUAAAUGACACUCAUUUUUUUCCUUUCUAAAUGGAGCACCUGGCUCCAAGUUCUGGACAUCUGGGUGAUGCAGUGUUUUCUUCAUUUAUCCCCUAUGUACAACCCUAUGGAUAUAAGACAAAUAAUUUACUAAUUACACACAAAUAUACACUGAGAAACAGAAGCAGCUAAUUCCAAAAUUCUUGUUU